AAAUGAAAGGGUUAGACUAGAUUAUCUGUAAGGACUCUUCCAACUCUAAGUGUGGGAUCAUCUAGUCCAGCCCUCUCAUUUUA
rnacentral:miRNA from 1 species